CGCGGGAUGGAGCAGUCUGGUAGCUCGUUGGGCUCAUAACCCAAAGGUCGUAG
rnacentral:tRNA from 1 species